rfam:Novosphingobium sp. MBES04 DNA, scaffold: MBES4S01.
CCGGGGAGCCGGGCAGCCGCGGGUGGGCGUAUCGAUUCAUCGAAACGCCUGCGCGAGGAAAGUCCGGGCUCCACGAAACAAGGGUGGCGGGUAACACCCGCCGGACGAGUGCGGUUUUCAGGCCGUGCGAAGUUCAGGGACAGUGCCACAGAGAGCAGACCGCCGAUGACCCCCACUUCCUUGUGGAGUGACGGGAACAGGUAAGGCUGAAAGGGUGCGGUAAGAGCGCACCGCGCUGCCGGUGACGGUAAGCGGCAUGGUAAACCCCACCCGGAGCAAGACCGAAUAGGGACUGCGCGCCAUCUUGAAUGGCCGGUCGGUUUCGGACCGAGGCAGUCCGGGUUGGUUGCUUGAGCGCAUCCGCAAGGGUGCGCCUAGAGGAAUGGCUGCCGCCGCGGCGUAAGGUCCCUCCUGAAAGGGAGACCACGCCAGGCACAGAACCCGGCUUACAGGCUCCCCGGCACA